UAAUACGUAGGGUGCAAGCGUUAAUCGGAAUUACUGGGCGUAAAGCGUGCGCAGGCGGUUUUGUAAGUCUGUCGUGAAAGCCCCGGGCUCAACCUGGGAAUUGCGAUGGAGACUGCAAGGCUUGAAUCUGGCAGAGGGGGGUAGAAUUCCACGUGUAGCAGUGAAAUGCGUAGAGAUGUGGAGGAACACCGAUGGCGAAGGCAGCCCCCUGGGUCAAGAUUGACGCUCAUGCACGAAAGCGUGGGGAGCAAACAGGAUUAGAUACCCUGGUAGUCCACGCCCUAAACGAUGUCUACUAGUUGUCGGGUUUUAAUUAACUUGGUAACGCAGCUAACGCGUGAAGUAGACCGCCUGGGGAGUACGGUCGCAAGAUU
rnacentral:rRNA from 1 species